GGUGUGUUUGUGGUGCAGCGG
rnacentral:misc_RNA from 1 species